rnacentral:rRNA from 1 species
GACGAACGCUGGCGGCGUGCUUAACACAUGCAAGUCGAACGAGUGGCGAACGGGUGAGUAAUACGUGGGGAACAUGCCCUAUUGAUGGGGUAAGCCUCGGAAACGGGGUCCAAUAACGAAUUAGGGGGAUGGGCUCUGGGCCUAUCGGCUUGUUGGGGGGGUGAUGGCCUACCAAGGCGGUGACGGGUAGCCGGCCUGAGAGGGUGAACGGCCACAGUGGGACGGAGAUACGGCCCAGAGGACGCCGCGGGGGAGAAGUGGGGGCUAUGGCACAAUGGGCGACAGCCUGAUGCAGCGACGCCGCGGAGGGGAUGAGGGCUUUCGGGUUGUAAAACUCUUUCGCAAGCGAACGGGUAGGUGGAGAAGAAGCGCCGGCUAACUACGUGCCAGCAGCCGCGGUAAUAC